GACGAACGCUGGCGGCGUGCCUAAUACAUGCAAGUCGAGCGAAUGGAUUAAGAGCUUGCUCUUAUGAAGUUAGCGGCGGACGGGUGAGUAACACGUGGGUAACCUGCCCAUAAGACUGGGAUAACUCCGGGAAACCGGGGCUAAUACCGGAUAACAUUUUGAACCGCAUGGUUCGAAAUUGAAAGGCGGCUUCGGCUGUCCCUUAUGGAUUGACCCGCGUCGCAUUAGCUAGUUGGUGAGGUAACAGCUCACCAAGGCAACGAUGCGUAGCCGACCUGAGAGGGUGAUCGGCCACACUGGGACUGAGACACGGCCCAGACUCCUACGGGAGGCAGCAGUAGGGAAUCUUCCGCAAUGGACGAAAGUCUGACGGAGCAACGCCGCGUGAGUGAUGAAGGCUUUCGGGUCGUAAAACUCUGUUGUUAGGGAAGAACAAGUGCUAGUUGAAUAAGCUGGCACCUUGACGGUACCUAACCAGAAAGCCACGGCUAACUACGUGCCAGCCGCCGCGGUAA
rnacentral:rRNA from 1 species